GCAGAAGAGACAAAACGAGAACAAAGCCAAGAAUGAAGUGCUCGAGUUGAGCUAGGAUCUCUGUCUCCAGGAGGAAGAACUAGCACAGUCAAGCCUGGCUCAGGUGGGAAAAUCAAGUCUUCUUGGAGCAGGUGACAGUGGGCCUCAAGCCAUGGUGGCCACCCUGAAGAAUGCCAGAGUCCUCAGCUCAGUCACAGCCCACGUGCCUCUGUCAUCUGCUCUGCAACCCUCGAACCCUGAAAUGCAGGGCUCGAGUCAGCCCGGCUGGAGGUGAGGUGUCACCCCGAGGAAGGAUGCGGGCCCAAGGCAGAGCCAGCUCCGCCUUUCCUUCCCAAAGCCGGAGGAGGGCGUUUUCUAUUCCUCUAGGGUCUCGCUCUCUCAGUCUGUCAUGAUCUUUAUUUGCUGUUUCGUGGAGUGCACCCCAGGACACAGAGAUUCUCAAAGACCAUGAAUCCCGCCCUCAACUCCAGGAACCCAACUCUGAUCUCCUGGAGCACCACCCCCCAGAUCUGCCUGAGCUCCAGAGUCCCCCAGGACUUGACUUAUGAACCACAGAGUCAGAGAGAAAGCGCUGGAGAUCAAACCCAGGGCCUGCACGUGUGAGGUGAGCGCCCUACCUGAGCGUCACCACAGCUCUGAUACCACACCUUAAAGCGACCUCACCUUGGCACUGCAGUCCUGAGGGGAGUGGGAGAGAAUUGCCUUGGGCCCUGGCCUCCUCGUCCGAGGCUUUCAUGUGGUACAUACAAGUUUUGCAGCGAAUAUGGCCUCAUCUGAGGACCUGGCUGUUUCUCUCUGUGUCUGCCGAGCCUCAAAUGUGACUCUGGCUCCCUGCCCUUUGCUGACCCCAGCAUGUUUAACACCAUCCCGGGGGAGCCCAUGGACUGACCCCUUAGAGGCCACAGUGCAAACCUGGAGGCCCUGAGGCUGUCAGAUGGUGAGUCCCACGACGGGAAGCACCCCUUGUGGUCACAGCCCCAGCGAGGGACAUGGGUGUUAUUCACGUGCACGGCGUAUCACAAGGCUGUGGCCUGUCCCGGGCACUUGGGAGAAGGAUGCGGUUCAGUCCUGAUUUGGCCCCGAUCACAGCUGCGACACGGGGGCUGUUCCUGGUCCUGGUUUUCAGAUUCAUAGGGCGGAGCGCACCAAUGCUCGGACUGUCGCAGCAGGAAGCGGGAGCUGGACCAGCCCAGGCCUGGGAGCCCCUGCACCCCACAUGCGAUGGCUCCACAUCCCUGCCCCAGGCAGGCAGUGCAGGGAACAUGGCCACUUCCCCUGUGCAUCUCCCACCGAGGCAGGGCAGGGAUGGUUCGAGCAACAGCGAGUGCGGGAGCUCCAUGCCUGUCUGCUUCUUUCCGUGCUCCUGGACCGUGCAAACCCGGUUUUGCUCGGGGAGAACCUCGGGGACAUCUAAAGCCCGAGUGAGCACAUCCCACCACUGGCGGGGCGAUGCUUGUUAGCGACCUUGACAAACUGGGUUUGCUUUCUUCCUGGCGAGUAAGCGUGUGUUUGGAAAAAGAGCCUUCAGGCUGCUGGUCCCAGGACAGCGACCCCAACAAGCCAGCCAGAGGGGACCUGGGGCUGGGGCAUUGGGGACAAGGGUGCAAGGAGGCCUUUGCAGUGCAGCCUAGGACUGGGCAGGGCCCACGGCUCAUAGCCCAGUGGCUGCGAGUCUGGAGGUGGGCAGAAGAAGCAGGUGGCUCCUCUGUGGAAUGUCAUAAAACCCGGGCAGAGCUGGGCUUCAUUCUCAGGGACAGCUGCCAGAUUCUUGCCCUUGAAAUAAUUUUUCCAGGUCUUUCUAUUAGGAAAAUGUUCAAUUUGGAGGAUGAGGGAGGCAGUGUGAAGACUUGGAAGGAACAGGCAGAUGGGAGCUGAGCCCUGUGACCUCUGAUAGAAGAGGGAGGUGACGCCGGCGCAGGAGCCAGUUUGGGGACAGCAUCAGGGCCACAGGCAGGGGUGGCAGAGCUGGGUUGGGCCGACACCACCCUGACUUCCUCCCUGAAACACCCCCUCUGCAGACACCCGAACAGCUAAGAAUCUGCACGUAGGCAGCGGGCUCCUGGCCCUGACCCCUGUGGACCUCUCCCCACUGCUCUGCACCGGCAAGGCCACAGUAGCCCCAGCGGGGAGGUGACCCUGUCCUGAGAACUCACACUUCGCAGGGAGCCCUGGACUGCCAGGAACUCUGAGUCACCCCUCCUUUCAGCAGCCCUGGCCAUGCUGCACUUCUGGGAUCGACAGCCUCGGAGGGUACGUGACAUUCCUUAGCUCGCAGUGGUAAGUCAGCCACCCACUUCCGCACUAGUCAUGGGGAACAGGACCAAACAGAUUGACUUGACGUUUAACAUGCCUCUAGCGGGGGACAGGGGAGCCCAGGCCAGAGCUCCACCCCUCUCUGGAGGGCAGAGCUAGGUACCCUGCCCGGGGACAUGGGCAGCCCCUCACCUGUCCCCGGAUGGGAAACAGUCCCCGGCACUGUCGGUCGCAGGCACGGCUGCCUCAGAGACUUUGUCCGAGAUGCUCAGGACAAGUCCUGAGAAAGGUGACCACUCUCUGAAACCCUUGGCCCCUGGGUAAACGUUUGUGCGUCCGAAUCCCAGAAAAACGUCAUCUAUUACCAGGACAGUGAACACACAACCGAGGGCAGCCUGGGCAGGCGGCCACCACUGUCGCCAUGGAGAAGGACCUCGUGGUGGAGCAUGACAUCCUGGGCAGUGCCAGAGGCUGCUUGGAAGACGGGUACCGGGGAAGACACUCUCGGGGCGCCGCGUGGGCGGGGCGGGGCUGCAGCCACAGAUAGAGGCGGGCUUCUUGGGGGCACCCUUCACGGAGGGGUGGGGCUCUCGGAGACGGGGCUGGGAGCAGACAGUGACACGCUCCGGACUGGCCUGCAGAGCUCAUCCGAUCCCUGGGAUCAGGCCUGGAGGAAGCCGAGGCGGGGCCUCUUUGGGGGCCUUGUCCGUGCCGCACGAGGGCUGAACUAGGGUUGAUGGACAGUGGCAGCUGGCGAUGGCAAGGAUAAUGACUAUGGGACUCAUCCCAGCCUCCCCCGGAGAGCACCCUGUGACCAGUCGUGUGACACCAGGCACUCACCGGCACUGUCACCUGUGCUGUCAGAGUCAUGGCCCUAAGUGGCAGGUGCGCUAUCAGCCCAUCUUACAGAAGAAGCAACUGAGGCUCAGGGAGGGCAGCGACAGCUCACAGUGGCUGCGUCAAGCGGCAGGGCCAGGACUCACACCAAGUGCCAUCUGGCUCCAGCUGCACCCCGAAAGGCGGGGUAACAGAAGUGCUGGGAACCAGUUAACCAUGGGUCCCUCGGGGGACAGAUGGCAGGACCAGGGCAGGCAGGUGAGGAAGGAGGAACUUGGAACUCCCUCCAGCCUGACUGGCGGAGGUGACAGACUGCAGUGGCAGGGUGAGGUCCAGGUAAAAGACAGGCUGGAAGACAGGUUGCCUUGACCCAAGCGACAACUCGGGGGGAAGAAGCAAGGGGCAGACAGUGACGGGGAGUGAGGUACUGUGCCAGGCAUCCCCAUGACACCAGGGACACGUCCUCCUGUGUCUCCAGCUGGAGGAAACGGAAGUCUGGAGAUGGGAGGCUGUCGCGGAAGCCCUCAGAGCUAGGAAGUGGGAAGUGUGGGACUCCAGAUGAAGCUGAACUCACGUUUGUCUGCACAGACCAAACACGCAGAGAAUUCUCCUGCAGGGCAGAAAGCUACCUGCUGGAACCCCAGACACCUUACAUGCUUUUUCUGUAUUCUCUAAACCUUCUAUCAUCAAUGCGCAAGACUUUUAUAACAAGCAAAAGAAAAGCAGAAACUUGGAACUAUAAACUGAUAGAUGUUUUGGAAGAUAAUUCGCCAGCCUCCACUUUCCAAAGCUGAAAAUUUGGCAUAUUCUUUGACCCUCUGCUUCCAAUUUUAGAAGACAAACAAGCAGGCAUAGACGUAUGUAUAAAAAUAUCCAAAGCAGCAGAUUAGAGAAAGCUUGGACGUAGUUUCCAUAUCAAGAAUAAGGAAUGGAAAUAAACUUUGGCUCCGUCACCCGGUUGAACACAAUAGGCGGCAGCGUAUGGGCUGUCAUGGUGCCAUGAUGUGAAUGUCCUUCCAACACUCAAGCUGAGACACAAUUGCCAUUGUGAUGGGAUGAAGAGGUGGAUUCGUCCUGUUUCUGUGGGAGUGGGAUCCCCAUAAAGAAGAUGGGUUUGGCCCCAUGUGCUCACUGCCUUGCCUUAUGCCAUGGGAUGACCCAGCCCAGAGGCCCUGUCACGUGCUCCCACCAUGCUCUUGGACUUUGCAGCCUUCAGAAUCAUGAGCCAAAUAAACUUCCGUGUUUAUAAUUUACCCAGUUGGUGGGAUUCUAUUAUAACAGCAGAAAACAAACGAAGACACAUGAGUAAAGAUUGUUCCCAAUAUAUCAAUACAAGAGAAAAAUUAGUCUUAAAACUAUCUACCAAUUGAUCUCAUUUUGGUUAAAAAAUGCAAUUAUACAAAUGUCUUCAUUAAAGCACUUGGUUUUGUGGAGAAGGAACAACACAAGUGAUCAUUUAGGGACUGGAGAUUUAACUCAGUGGUUCUGUUGCCCGCCUUGCAAGUGCAAGGUCCUGAGUUCAAUCCCCAGUACCAAAAAAAAGGGUCCUGUGAAUUAAAUGCAGGACCCAGAAACAAGUGACCAUUUAACCCUAACUGGGGCCAGUGUUACUUGGAAGAAGGCACGCAGAGUGUGUGUGACAGACGGAAAGCCCGGCCUGGUCAGGUGCUGGUCACACAGGAAUUAUGAGAAUGGAAAGCAUCUAAUCUACCCCAGAAUGCUCUGUGACUUUUUUUUUCUUGUUAAUUGUCUGUAUUUUUUCUUGCUUUUUACCCCUAAA